rnacentral:lncRNA from 1 species
CACUGACCGCACCUUUGAUCUUUCUCUGCUUCGCGCAUUCCAUAGAACCAUUCAUCCGCUCGGUUAGUCACUACUAUUUAUUCAUAAUCUUUCCUUUAAUACAGCUACGACUUAUUUUAUCUUAUAUGCAGCCGCUGCUUCGAGCGGAGACUCCCCAAUCGAUAUUGAUGUUCCAAAAGAAGAACCAGAAGACAUUUCUGAUAUCCCGCCUCAUUCCUCUGUAAUUAACUCUGCCUUUCUGUAGACUCUUUCUUUUCUGGUUAUGUUCAAUGCUUAUUUCGCUUUUAUUCACAGUCAAUUCUAACUUCUCCAUCGGUCUCAGCCUCAGAAAAAAGGCCGAUUGAGACUGCACAAUCUACUCCUCCGCCGGCUUCGAAACGGCGU